GUCUAUACAGACCCUCUGCACCGAGAUAUUUCUCGACACCGACGCGCUGCCAUCUGUCGCCCGCCUUAGCCUCAAUAAAAGCGCCGGGCGAGCGGCGCUGCAACUAGCAGGCGGGAAGAGGCGGCGAUGCGAAGGGAGCGAGUGGGACGGCCGAUGUGGAGGAGGAGGAGGGAGACAAAGAGAAAAGGAAUGGAUCAAAUACUACAAUUGUGAUUCCAAUGAGGCUCCUGCCAACCACCCCUUUUUGCAGGGAACAGCACUGUUGUUCUAUGAACAAAGCCAACAGUCAGUACACCAUAAAUAUGUGGAUAGCUCCCAAGGAUAGUGACCUUCAGGCAUCCCAUGAAGCCGUUCCAGCACUGGCACAGAAGCAAAGCUAAUCUUCAGAGUGGCCCAAGACAGUUUACAAUCGCUUUGGUGUUGGAAUCAUGAGCACAUGAAAGUAGGUUUGUAAACUGCUGGUGGUUUCAAACAAGAAAGCUCCGUGAUUGGGCCCAAAGAGCUUCAUAGACUUCUUUCAAUCAUUAAAAUAACCUGUUCCUGCGUAUCAGAAGAUUCUCCAGAGUGGCCAAAGCACUAAGUGAUACUCAGCCAGAACAGGGAACCAGCAGAAUUGAAAGCGCUCUUUGUAUCUCAUGCUAUUUUUAAAAACAAGGAAAAUGCCAAC